GAUGGCGGCGCUGUCUCCACCCGAGACUCAGUGAAAUUGAAAUCGCUGUGAAGAUGCAGUGUAUCCGCGGCUAGACGGAAAGACCCCGUGAACCUUUACUAUAGCUUUGCACUGGACUUUGAAUUUGCUUGUGUAGGAUAGGUGGGAGGCUUUGAAGUGGGGACGCCAGUUCUCAUGGAGCCAUCCUUGAAAUACCACCCUGGCAACUUUGAGGUUCUAACUCAGGUCCGUUAUCCGGAUCGAGGACAGUGUAUGGUGGGUAGUUUGACUGGGGCGGUCUCCUCCCAAAGAGUAACGGAGGAGUACGAAGGUGCGCUCAGACCGGUCGGAAAUCGGUCGUAGAGUAUAAAGGCAAAAGCGCGCUUGACUGCGAGACAAACACGUCGAGCAGGUACGAAAGUAGGUCUUAGUGAUCCGGUGGUUCUG
rnacentral:rRNA from 1 species